rnacentral:misc_RNA from 1 species
GAUGAAGAACGCAGCGAAAUGCGAUAAGUAAUGUGAAUUGCAGAAUUCAGUGAAUCAUCGAAUCUUUGAACGCACAUUGCGCCCGCCAGUAUUCUGGCGGGCAUGCCUGUUCGAGCGUCAUUUCAACCCUCAAGCCCAGCUUGGUGUUGGGGAUCGGCACAGGCGCCCUCGGGCGCCCGCCGUCCCCUAAAUCUAGUGGCGGUCCCGCUGCAGCCUCCUCUGCGUAGUAGUUUUCUCCUCGCAAGGGCAGCUCGGUGGCGACCUCGCCGUAAAACCCCCAACUUCUGAAAGGUUGACCUCGAAUCAGGUAGGAAUACCCGCUGAACUUAAGCAUAUCAAUAAGCGGAGGA